UCUAAGGAAACCUGAGGAUCACCAUUCCUUUUUUGUGCAGCGCACACGGAGGACGGAGUUGUGUGCAUACCAGCAGCUUCUCCUGCCUGACCUUCUUUAGAGGGUCUUUUCAGAGAGUGUGCCUCUGUGACACACGCCCGCUUUCUUUUAUUUCUGGGGACCCUAAUUAUAGAUUAAAUCUGCUAGCUGGGUGCGUCGGCUCAUACUUCUAAACCUCAACACUCAAGAGGCUCAAGCGGAGAAUCGCGACGAAUUCGAGGACCCGCAAAGAAGCGAGGGCGAGUUUGUUCGCUUGUGCUGUCCAGGAUUCUAUGGAACCCAGGCUGGGAAGUAGGACUCCAAUAGGAGUCAUUUUACAAUACUGCCCAUCAACUUCCCAUUAUCAAAAAAUGGUCUUACUGUACAGCUCCAGAAGCCUGUAGUCUCUUUGUACACUGACUGGCCUUGAACUCAGAGAUACAUCACCAAGCCUGACAGAAAUGUGAAGGCCAGGCUGAUCUCAAACUUGUGAGCCUCUCGAUUCCUCCACUGCUUCUGCAGAUUCUACUGCUGUAUGGGACACAUGUGAAGAUCAGAGGACAACUUGUUGGAUCUUUCCUUCUAACAUAUGGGUCCUGGGAAUGGAAUUUAGGUCUUCAGACUAGGUAGCAAGUGCCUUUUCCCUCUAAGCCAUCUUGUUGACCCAAAUUCCUUCUAGAUAUAGAACAUGACUGGAUGUUUUCAUAUCUCUUGAGUAAGAUUCCCUCUCCAUUUGGAAAGAGCUUGUGAGCUUAUUGUGCUUCCAAAAGUCAUGCCCCAAGAAAUGACUAGGGGAACUGUCCACCAUUAGAAAUGUGUGAUAUACUAAAGUUUCUCCUAAUAGAUAUUUCAUGGUUUUUAUCUGGAAAUGUGUGGUGUAAUGAAUGUUCCUCUUUAUCUGGUCCUUAUCUUCACCUUUGGUUUUUGUUUGUUUUUUGUUGUUGAGACAGGGGUCAUAUGGUCCAGACUAGCCUCAAACUUCUGAUCCUUCUACCCCCACCUCCCUACAUUGUGAAAUCCUAAAUGCAGAGGCCAGGAGGCUCCUGUAUGCCUGCUCCUGGAAGACUUCUUACCACUGUGGUCAAGAAAGUAAGGCUCAGAGGUGGAUUUGGCUACCCCAUCAUUGUCUCAGUGGGAACUAGGCUGCAUUGUCUAAGGACCCGUUGAGAAACUAUUAUUGGAGGGCUUUAUUAUAGAGUUAAAAGGGUUAAGAGGGAAUUCCUGGGCCCAAUCUUCCAUGAAUACUAGGGACAGAUUUAUAAUUCCUGUGAGGAAAAUUUUAGGGAUCACCACAAUGGCAGAUGUCUGGGAAAUAUGUAACCUGGAAACUCAUGAGGUAUUGACUGUAUUGAGCCCCAAGAACCAAAGUAAAAGACUUCUA